CCUACGGGCGGCAGCAGUGAGGAAUAUUGGUCAAUGGACGGAAGUCUGAACCAGCCAUGCCGCGUGCAGGAAGACGGCUCUAUGAGUUGUAAACUGCUUUUGUACAAGGGUAAACCUGAAUACGUGUAUUCUGCUGAAAGUACUGUACGAAUAAGGAUCGGCUAACUCCGUGCCAGCAGCCGCGGUAAUACGGAGGAUCCAAGCGUUAUCCGGAUUUAUUGGGUUUAAAGGGUGCGUAGGCGGAUUGAUAAGUUAGAGGUGAAAUGUCCGAGCUUAACUCGGGAACUGCCUCUAAUACUGUUGAUCUAGAGAGUAGAUGCGGUAGGCGGAAUGUAUGGUGUAGCGGUGAAAUGCUUAGAGAUCAUACAGAACACCGAUUGCGAAGGCAGCUUACCAAUCUAUAUCUGACGUUGAGGCACGAAAGCGUGGGGAGCAAACAGGAUUAGAUACCCCAGUAGUC
rnacentral:rRNA from 1 species